rnacentral:rRNA from 1 species
UUGUCUUUUAAAUAAAGACCAGUAUGAAUGGCAAGACGAAAGUUCAACUGUCUCCCUAAAUUAAUCAGUGAAAUUGAUUUCUCCGUGCAGAAGCGGAGAUAUAAUUAUAAGACGAGAAGACCCUAUGGAGCUUUAAACAUAUAAUCAAUUGUAUUUCAUAAAAUCCGAAAGAUAAAAUAUAAAAUAAAACAAUAUGAUUAAAAUUUUAGGUUGGGGCGACCACGGAGAAAAACAAAACCUCCGAGAUGAAAAGAAUAUCUUAAUUUAAGAACCACAAUUCCAAAAAAUAAAAUAUUUAACAUAAUUGAUCCAAUAUUUUGAUCAACGAACCAAGUUACCCUAGGGAUAACAGCGCAAUCCUCUCCAAGAGUCCCUAUCGACGAGUGGGUUUACGACCUCGAUGUUGGAUCAGGACACCCCGAUGGUGCAGCCGCUAUUAAAGGUUCGUUUGUUCAACGAUUAAAGU